CGAGUUAGGGUCUUCUCAGGCCCGACCUCCCAACCCUUUGUUUACCCACCCAUGUUGCUUCGGCGGGCCCGCCGUUUCGACGGCCGCCGGAGGACCGCCUAUUCAGGUCCUCUGGCCCGCGCCCGCCGGUAGCCAAUUCUACCAAACUCUUGAAUCAAAUCGUGUCCAAUGUCUGAGUAUAUUACAAAAUAAAAGCAAAACUUUCAACAACGGAUCUCUUGGUUCUGGCAUCGA
rnacentral:misc_RNA from 1 species